AUUGAACGCUGGCGGCAGGCCUAACACAUGCAAGUCGAACGAGUGGCGGACGGGUGAGUAAUGUCUGGGAAACUGCCCGAUGGAGGGGGAUAACUACUGGAAACCGUAGCUAAUACCGCAUACCAUCGGAUGUUCCCAGAUGGGAUUAGCUAGUAGGUGGGGUAAUGGCUAACCUAGGCGACGAUCCCUAGCUGAUCUGAGAGGAUGACCAGCCACACUGGAACGGAGACACGGUCCAGACUCCUACGGGAGGCAGCAGUGGGGAAUAUUGCGCAAUGGGCGAAAGCCUGAUGCAGCCAUGCCGCGUGUAUGAAGAAGGCCUUCGGGUUGUAAAGUACUUUCAGCGGGGAGGCGUUACCCGCAGAAGAAGCACCGGCUAACUCCGUGCCAGCCGCCGCGGUAAUAC
rnacentral:rRNA from 1 species